GACGAACGCUGGCGGCGUGCUUAACACAUGCAAGUCGAACGGAAAGGCCCUGCUUUUGUGGGGUGCUCGAGUGGCGAACGGGUGAGUAACACGUGAGUAACCUGCCCUUGACUUUGGGAUAACUUCAGGAAACUGGGGCUAAUACCGGAUAGGAGCUCCUGCUGCAUGGUGGGGGUUGGAAAGUUUCGGCGGUUGGGGAUGGACUCGCGGGUUAUCAGCUUGUUGGUGGGGUAGUGGCUUACCAAGGCUUUGACGGGUAGCCGGCCUGAGAGGGUGACCGGCGAAAUUGGGACUGAGAUACGGCCCAGAAUCCUACGGGAGGAAGCAGUGGGGAAUAUUGCACAAUGGGAGGAAGCCUGAUGCAGCAACGCAGCGUGCGGGAUGACGGCCUUCGGGUUGUAAACCGCUUUCGCCUGUGACGAAGCGUGAGUGACGGUAAUGGGUAAAGAAGCACCGGCUAACUACGUG
rnacentral:rRNA from 1 species